UACGAAGGGGCUAGGCGUUGCUCGGAAUCACUGGGCGUAAAGCGCACGUAGGCGGCUUUUAAGUCAGGGUGAAAUCCUGGAGCUCAACUCCAGAACUGCCUUUGAUACUGAGAAGCUUGAGUUCGGGAGAGGUGAGUGGAACUGCGAGUGUAGAGGUGAAAUUCGUAGAUAUUCGGAAGAACACCAGUGGCGAAGGCGGCUCACUGGCCCGGUACUGACGCUGAGGUGCGAAAGCGUGGGGAGCAAACAGG
rnacentral:rRNA from 1 species